rnacentral:rRNA from 1 species
GAUGAACGCUGGCGGCGUGCCUAAUACAUGCAAGUCGAGCGAACAGACGAGGAGCUUGCUCCUCUGACGUUAGCGGCGGACGGGUGAGUAACACGUGGAUAACCUACCUAUAAGACUGGGAUAACUUCGGGAAACCGGAGCUAAUACCGGAUAAUAUAUUGAACCGCAUGGUUCAAUAGUGAAAGGCGGUUUUGCUGUCACUUAUAGAUGGAUCCGCGCCGCAUUAGCUAGUUGGUAAGGUAACGGCUUACCAAGGCAACGAUGCGUAGCCGACCUGAGAGGGUGAUCGGCCACACUGGAACUGAGACACGGUCCAGACUCCUACGGGAGGCAGCAGUAGGGAAUCUUCCGCAAUGGGCGAAAGCUUGACGGAGCAACGUCGCGUGAGUGAUGAAGGUCUUCGGAUCGUAAAACUCUGUUAUUAGGGAAGAACAAAUGUGUAAGUAACUAUGCACGUCUUGACGGUACCUAAUCAGAAAGCCACGGCUAACUACGUG